AUGAAAUUACUAUCACAAAUUGUAGCAACUGUUCUUGUAGCUUACCUUACUCUAGCUCUAGGAGUAAAGGUGAACACACACCAAACAAGUGAAGACGAAGACUUUCAAGAGAUCAUUAAGAAACAUGUCAAAAGGAUCGUUUCGACAAAAUUUGGUGAAGUCUUUGAUUGCGUUGACAUUUAUCAACAACCAACUCUUCAUCAUCCGCUGCUAAAGAACCAUUUGCUACAGAUGAAACCAAGCUCUCACCCAAAAGGUUUCCACUUUAAAUCAUCAUCUUCAGCUAACACAACAGAGUCAGUGUUGCCUAUGGUUGCAUGCCCAGUAGGUACGGUACCAAUAUUACAAAAAACUAAUAAAGUUGGACACAUUCCCCUGUGGAGCAAUUCUCUUGCUGCGGGAGGCGAGAUAGCUGGGAUCAAGACCGAAGGUGAUAUAUAUGGUGCACGAGUAACACUUAACAUUUAUGAGCCCGUGAAAGGACAUGGAGAUUUUAGUUCACAAGUACUUACUCUCAUGCAUGGUGAGGACGGUCCUCUUGAGGCCAUUGCAGUUGGUUCAAUGGUAUCACAAACUUUUGGAGACAACUUUGCUAGGUUCCAUAUUAUUUGGCUGGGGAACAACCAUAAGUCUUGCAUGGAUUUUCAUUGCCAAGGUUUUGUGCAAACUGUACCUCACAUUGGAGUUGGGGCAAGAAUAUCUCCGGUUUCUACCUACAAUGGAAAGCAAGUGGAUUUACAACUUAUGCUUUUGCAGGAUCCAAAGAAGCAUUGGUGGCUAUUCUAUGACACAAAACCCAUAGGAUAUUGGCCAAAUUUAUAUUUUACAAAACUGAGAGUCAAGGCGAAUAUAGUAGAAUUUGGUGGACUUGUUAAUGGACCAACAAUUCAUCAAGACCCACCGCAGAUGGGAAGUGGACAUUUCACAGCUGAAGGGAAUGGAAAGGCCGCCUAUGCUAGGGAUGUUAAAAUAGUAGAUAGCAGUUACAAAGUUGUUGAUUUGAACUUCGAUAAGAGCUUUGCUUAUUCUACAAAACCACCAUGCUACACGGUUGAUUCAUUUGAUCAUAAUAGUGAUGGGGCACAUGUCUACUAUGGUGGACCGGGUGGUUGCCACCCUUCUGUGCGAUAG
rnacentral:rRNA from 1 species